CUUGACCAAUAUAACACAAUUACUAAAUAGGAGAGAUGGGAUUUAUGUGCAAACAUAUCUAAUUCCAGAGAAGGCUCUCUUGUAUUUAGGACACAAGUACAGGUGGAGUGAGAGGCAUCGACUUCCUGAGGAUUACCUCAGCGGCUAAAUGAGGUAGAAAGCAACCAUUUGUUUUCACUUCUUCAAUAAAACAAGCUGUGCUAGAGCAGAAUCCAAAAUUUCAGAUUUUGCAACAUGAGAGUCUGAAAGACAGGCCAACACAGGCGGCUCUUUGGAAACAAGAGACCUGGUACUUCCAACAGCCAAAAAGCUGGCCAAACACCAGGAUGAGGGGAAAGACAUAUCAGGUGUCUUCAAUUGGAGUCUUCUUGUCUUUGUUUCCUGUCUUGGAGCUCUGAGCCCUGCUGCGGAAAGGGACUUUAUUCACCAGCACAGGCAUUGUGAGAAGGUUUACAUAACUAUAAUGAUGAGUAAAUGUGAUGACACAGAAAAAUUGUGUCAGGGACAUUAAAAUGGAAGGAAACAAGCUAACAUUUCUUAGUACUUAAGGUGAGAUAAUUUUUAAAUCAUUUGUUAAAAUCACUAUAUUCUGUUCAUUUGAAUGUAACCAAAAAGUAGGGGAAAUAUAUAUAU
rnacentral:lncRNA from 1 species